rnacentral:rRNA from 1 species
CGCACAGAGCUGCAUGGCUCGGUGUGAAAAACUCCGGUGGUAUGGGAUGGGCCCGCGUCUGAUUAGGCAGUUGGCGGGGUAACGGCCCACCAAACCGACGAUCAGUAGCCGGCCUGAGAGGGCGACCGGCCACAUUGGGACUGAGACACGGCCCAAACUCCUACGGGAGGCAGCAGUGGGGAAUAUUGCACAAUGGGGGAAACCCUGAUGCAGCGACGCCGCGUGAGCGAAGAAGUAUUUCGGUAUGUAAAGCUCUAUCAGCAGGGAAGAUAAUGACGGUACCUGACUAAGAAGCCCCGGCUAACUACGUGCCAGCAGCCGCGGUAAUACGUAGGGGGCAAGCGUUAUCCGGAUUUACUGGGUGUAAAGGGAGCGUAGACGGCAAGGCAAGUCUGAUGUGAAAACCCAGGGCUUAACCCUGGGACUGCAUUGGAAACUGUCUGGCUCGAGUGCCGGAGAGGUAAGCGGAAUUCCUAGUGUAGCGGUGAAAUGCGUAGAUAUUAGGAAGAACACCAGUGGCGAAGGCGGCUUACUGGACGGUAACUGACGUUGAGGCUCGAAAGCGUGGGGAGCAAACAGGAUUAGAUACCCUGGUAGUCCACGCCGUAAACGAUGA